GGGGAUGACGUCAAGUCCUCAUGGCCUUAUGGUAGGGCUUCACACGUCAUACAAUGGUCGGUACAGAGGGUUGCCAAACCGCGAGGUGGAGCCAAUCCCUUAAAGCCGAUCGUAGUCCGGAUCGUAGUCUGCAACUCGACUACGUGAAGUCGGAAUCGCUAGUAAUCGCAGAUCAGCAUGCUGCGGUGAAUACGUUCCCGGGUCUU
rnacentral:rRNA from 1 species